GUUGGAUCAAGUUUGUGUCCUGCUUGAAGUACAUUUCCUUGAAUGUGUUAAUGAUACACUGAUAAAUCAUCAUCUCCUCGUCUUCAUCAUGAGUCUUCUUCUUCAUCUACUGAUGCUGUCGCUUCUCUCUGCUGGAUCAGCUAAAGUUGUGGAUGAUUUUGAGAAGAGCUGUGGUCAAUUUUUUGCUAAUGGAAAAUCUCCAACAAAAUUUACUGGAGAUCACUACAAGCAGAUCUGCCAAACUCUAGAUAAUGCUGUUUAUUUUGCCACACUUUAUGACACUCACAACAGAAUCCCUGUGUACUCGGCCUACAAGUUUGAAGGGCUAAUGGGCUGCACAAGACUAGACAAGUGGUACAUUGAACCUCAAAUAUACUGAUAAAUCAACACCUCCUCAUCUCCAUUAUGAAUCUUCUUCUUCAUCUGCUGAUGCUGUCGCUUCUCUCUGCUGGAUCAGCCAGAGUUGUGCAGGAUUUUGAGAAGAGCUGUGGUCAAUUUUUUGCAAAAGGAAAAUCUCCAAAAGGAUUUACUGGAGCGCAGUACAGGCAGAUCUGCCAAACUCUAGAUAAUGCUGUUCAUUUCGCCACACUUUAUGACACUUACAACAAGAUCCCUGUGUACUCGGCCUAUGUGUUUGAAGGGCUAAUGGGCUGCACAAGACUAAACAGCUGGUACAUUGAACCUCAGCUUGAUGAUAAUAAUGGAGGAGCAAACAUGGCAUUUUCGAGCACCGUGAAAGAAAAUUAUCGAGGAGUU
rnacentral:lncRNA from 1 species